UACGUAGGCAGCAAGCGUUGUUCGGAGUUACUGGGCGUAAAGGGUGCGUAGGCGGCCCUGUAAGUAUGGUGUGAAAUCUCCCGGCUUAACUGGGAGGGUGCGCUAUAGACUGCGGGGCUCGAGUGUGGGAGAGGAAAGUGGAAUUCCUGGUGUAGCGGUGAAAUGCGUAGAUAUCGGGAGGAACACCUGUGGCGAGAGCGGCGCACUGGACCACAACUGACGCUGAGGCGCGAAAGCUAGGGGAGCAAACAGG
rnacentral:rRNA from 1 species